rnacentral:lncRNA from 1 species
UUAAAUGUCAUACACAAUUUUAGACAUGUUCAUGACUUAUUAUCCAAGUUGGUAAGCUUCACAAGUUUAUGACAAACUUUGCUUGCAAGACGUAAGUUCAUGAUAUAGUUGGAUCCGAAGGUAAAGAAGAAAUCAAUUCGAUAAGUUCAGAAAUCCGGAGGGUAUGUGAAGGGAGAAUUAUGAGUUUCAAAAUCUGAGGGAUUAAACAGGAUUG